AAAACUCCCUUGACGGUACUUAAUGAAUAAGCCCCGGCUAAUUAUGUGCCAGCAGCCGCGGUAAUACAUAAGGGGCGAGCGUUAUCCGGAAUUAUUGGGCGUAAAGGGUGCGUAGGCGGUUUAAUAAGUCUAUAGUUUAAUUUCAGUGCUUAACGCUGUUGUGCUAUAGAAACUGUUUUACUAGAGUGAGUUAGAGGCAAGCGGAAUUCCAUGUGUAGCGGUAAAAUGCGUAAAUAUAUGGAGGAACACCAGAGGCGUAGGCGGCUUGCUGGGACUUUACUGACGCUGAGGCACGAAAGCGUGGGGAGCAAACAGGAUUAGAUACCCUGGUAGUCCACNCCGUAAACGAUGAGUACUAAGUGUCGGGUAAAACCGGUACUGAAGUUAACACAUUAAGUACUCCGCCUGAGUAGUACGUACGCAAGUAUGAAACUUAAAGGAAUUGACGGGACUCCGCACAAGCGGUGGAUCAUGUUGUUUAAUUCGAAGAUACACGAAAAACCUUACCAGGUCUUGACAUUUUCUUGCGAAGUUAUAGAAAUAUAAUGGAGGUUAUCAGGAAAACAGGUGGUGCAUGGUUGUCGUCAGCUCGUGUCGUGAGAUGUUAGGUUAAGUCCUAAAACGAGCGCAACCCUUGUCGUUAAUUGCCAGCAUGUAAUGAUGGGGACUUUAACGAGACUGCCAAUGAAAAAUUGGAGGAAGGUGGGGAUUACGUCAAAUCAUCAUGCCCCUUAUGAUCUGGGCUACAAACGUGAUACAAUGGUUGAUACAAAGAGUAGCUGAAACGCGAGUUCUUAGCCAAUCUCACAAAA
rnacentral:rRNA from 1 species